AUUGAACGCUGGCGGCAUGCCUUACACAUGCAAGUCGAACGGCAGCACGGGAGCAAUCCUGGUGGCGAGUGGCGAACGGGUGAGUAAUAUAUCGGAACGUGCCCAGUCGUGGGGAUAACGUAGCGAAAGCUACGCUAAUACCGCAUACGAUCUAAGGAUGAAAGCGGGGGAUCGCAAGACCUCGCGCGAUUGGAGCGGCCGAUAUCAGAUUAGCUAGUUGGUGAGGUAAAGGCUCACCAAGGCGACGAUCUGUAGCUGGUCUGAGAGGACGACCAGCCACACUGGGACUGAGACACGGCCCAGACUCCUACGGGAGGCAGCAGUGGGGAAUAUUGGACAAUGGGCGAAAGCCUGAUCCAGCAAUGCCGCGUGAGUGAUGAAGGCCUUAGGGUUGUAAGCUCUUUUACCCGAGAUGAUAAUGACAGUAUCGGGAGAAUAAGCUCCGGCUAAAUCCGUGCCAGCAGCCG
rnacentral:rRNA from 1 species